AUGCAACUCUUUGUGAAGACCCUGACUGGCAAGACCAUCACCCUGGAGGUGGAGCCUAGUGACACCAACGAGAAUGUGAAGGCCAAGAUCUAGGAUAAAGAGGGCAUUCCCCCGACCAGUAAAGGCAAGCAGCUGGAAGAAGGCAGCACCUUCUCUAAUUACAACAUCCAGAAAGAGUCAACCCUGCACUUGGUUCUCCACCUGAGGGGUGGCAUCUUUGUGAAGACCCUGACCAAAAAGGUUUUUUUUCUU
rnacentral:lncRNA from 1 species